rnacentral:rRNA from 1 species
GACGUAGGGCGCGAGCGUUGUCCGGAUUUAUUGGGCGUAAAGAGCUCGUAGGCGGCUUGUCGCGUCGUCCGUGAAAACCCACAGCUCAACUGUGGGCUUGCGGUCGAUACGGGCAGGCUAGAGUUCGGUGAGGGGAGACUGGAAUUCCUGGUGUAGCGGUGAAAUGCGCAGAUAUCAGGAGGAACACCGGUGGCGAAGGCGGGUCUCUGGGCCGAUACUGACGCUGAGGCGCGAAAGCGUGGGGAGCAAACGGG